GUGUCAGCAGCCGCGGUAAUACGAGGGGUGCAAGCGUUGCUCGGAAUUAUUGGGCGUAAAGGGUAGGUAGGUGGUCUUGUUUGUCUGUGGUGAAAUCCUUGGGCUUAACCCAAGAAGUGCCAUAGAAACGGCAAGACUCGAGUUCUGGAGAGGGUCGUGGAAUUCCCGGUGUAGCGGUGAAAUGCGUAGAGAUCGGGAGGAACACCAGAGGCGAAGGCGGCGACCUGGACAGAUACUGACACUCAACUACGAAAGCGUGGGUAGCAAACAGGAUUAGAAACCCCUGUAGUCC
rnacentral:rRNA from 1 species